GUUAGGAAUAUUGGACAAUGGGCGCAAGCCUGAUCCAGCCAUGCCGCGUGAGUGAUGAAGGCCUUCGGGUUGUAAAGCUCUUUAGCCGAUGAUUAUAAUGACUGUAGUCGGAAAAUAAGCCCCGGCUAACUUCGUGCCAGCAGCCGCGGUAAUACGAAGGGGGCGAGCGUUAUUCGGAAUCACUGGGCGUAAAGCGUGCGUAGGCGGCUUUGCAAGUUGGGAGUGAAAGCCCAGGGCUCAACCCUGGAAUUGCUCUCAAAACUACAAGGCUCGAAUUCGGGAGAGGAUAGCGGAAUUGUCAGUGUAGCAGUGAAAUGCGUAGAUAUUGACAGGAACACCAGUGGCGUAAGCGGCUAUCUGGACCGAUAUUGACGCUGAGGCACGAAAGCGUGGGGAUCAAACAGGAUUAGAUACCCCGGUAGUCC
rnacentral:rRNA from 1 species